rnacentral:rRNA from 1 species
UACGUAGGGUGCGAGCGUUGUCCGGAAUUAUUGGGCGUAAAGAGCUCGUAGGCGGUGUGUCACGUCGGCCGUGAAAACCUGGGGCUUAACUCUGGGCGUGCGGUCGAUACGGGCAUCACUAGAGUUCGGCAGGGGAGACUGGAAUUCCUGGUGUAGCGGUGAAAUGCGCAGAUAUCAGGAGGAACACCGGUGGCGAAGGCGGGUCUCUGGGCCGAUACUGACGCUGAGGAGCGGAAAGCCAUGGGUAGCGAACAGG